AUUGAACGCUGGCGGCAGGCCUAACACAUGCAAGUCGAGCGGAUGAAGGGAGCUUGCUCCUGGAUUCAGCGGCGGACGGGUGAGUAAUGCCUAGGAAUCUGCCUGGUAGUGGGGGAUAACGUCCGGAAACGGGCGCUAAUACCGCAUACGUCCUGAGGGAGAAAGUGGGGGAUCUUCGGACCUCACGCUAUCAGAUGAGCCUAGGUCGGAUUAGCUAGUUAGUGGGGUAAAGGCCUACCAAGGCGACGAUCCGUAACUGGUCUGAGAGGAUGAUCAGUCACACUGGAACUGAGACACGGUCCAGACUCCUACGGGAGGCAGCAGUGGGGAAUAUUGGACAAUGGGCGAAAGCCUGAUCCAGCCAUGCCGCGUGUGUGAAGAAGGUCUUCGGAUUGUAAAGCACUUUAAGUUGGGAGGAAGGGCAGUAAGUUAAUACCUUGCUGUCUUGACGUUACCAACAGAAUAAGCACCGGCUAACUUCGUG
rnacentral:rRNA from 1 species